AGAAAGUUGGCUCAAUGGUAGAGCAUCUGCUUUGAAUGCAGAAAGUGCCAGGUGAGUUUCUGACAUUUCCA
rnacentral:tRNA from 1 species